rnacentral:tRNA from 1 species
GGAGAUGUAGCUCAGAGGUAGAACACAUGAUUAGCAUUCAGGAGGCCCUGGGUUGGAUUCCCUGUACCACCU